UGCCAUGAUGGUGUAAUUUGCGUCCGACACUGCGUACAGCGACAGAUGCCUACUGUCGAAUGCUGGCACAGUUGAGUGGCGAAUCUUGAGUCUGAGCA